AAUGCCUGCAGGAACCACAUGGGGUAAAUGUGUGAGAUGGUUCUGGUAUUCAUUCUCCUUUUUCUUGAAGCACUAUCUUUUGUUAUUUUUUUUCUCUUUCAUUUUCUUUUUUAUUUACCUUUGAUAGAGAUGUUAGAAGACAGUUUAUUGUGAAAUAUAAACAAAUGUGAUGGUAAGGGCAACUUAUGCUUCUAAGAGGUUAGGGGAGUGUUUGGGAUUGUGGUUAUUAACUGGAACAUUCACCAUUCAUCUAAAGGGGGGGCACAACUUGUUGAUACUUGGGCCUAGGGAUGCCAGGAUAUUUGGCUCUGUAUAAGAAAUCUGGUUGGCUUCAAUUCUUUUUUUUUUUUUAAAUGCGUCAGUCCGAUGGAAUAUUUUUAUAAAUACUUUUAUAAUUUUAUGAAUAGUUUCUGCUUUUUCACAAUUUUGGCUUAUUGUAAUGUUACCAUUUCUCGUAUGUCAUGACACGCUAUCUGUUCAACUCAGUUUGGGGCUUGGGCUUAGCAGUUUGUUUUGGAAGUGUUUGGAAUUGGACCAGUUUAUUUGAAUUCAGCUGUAUAAAUUAGAAUGAAAUAGAUUGGGAAAGAAUAGAUUAAG
rnacentral:lncRNA from 1 species